AUUUAAAUAGUUUAAUAAAAAUUUUGAUUUGUGGAGUCAAGGAUGUAAAAGUUUACUUUAGAUA
rnacentral:tRNA from 1 species